rnacentral:tRNA from 1 species
GCUGAGGUAGCCAAGUCGGUCACGGCGGGCGCCUGAAGAGCGUCAGAUAUAGGUUCGAUUCCUAUCCUCAGCA